CAACAAAAAUAUUUUCAAACGGGUUUCCCCCAUAGUGCAGCAUUGAAACAGAGUUACUGUGAAUACAGAAGACUGUCUAUCCCACAGCAGGCAAUGCAAUUAAAGACUUCAGAGAAUGCCAGAUUUUUCAGAAUGCAUCAUAGAAUUUUCAAAGCUGUAAGAAAGAGGUGAGUAAAACCAGUUUUUUGAAGUUUUAUCACUGAAGCUCAGGGUGAGGAUGCUGAGAUGUAGAGAGACUGAUUUGCUCAAGAUAACAAAGAGUUUUAUUGAUUUGGGAACCCAUGGAAGGGGGUCAGCUGUGAGAUAUCACAUGAUCAGACUGACUGCCUGACCAGACUGACUGCCAUCCUGUUAAAGGGAAUGAAUCACAGUUCAUCUCGCAGAUUUAUGGCAUGCCUACAGAAAAAGUACCUU
rnacentral:lncRNA from 10 species